rfam:Nadsonia fulvescens var. elongata DSM 6958 unplaced genomic scaffold NADFTscaffold_4, whole genome shotgun sequence.
GACACUUUGGCCGAGUGGUCUAAGGCGGUAGACUUAAGCUCGUGAUCAGUCACCUGAGUAAUCUACUAUUCGAAAGGAUGCAAGGGUUCGAACCCCUUAGGUGUCA